CCGCAAGCCUUCCAGCGUGGCCGGGUCUGAGGUGACCCUGUUCAUUCCUGUAGUGCUUGCCAGAGCAGCCCUGAGAUGGUUUGAGGCCUCUCUCUGCUCCCUUCGGAGGGAGGCUAUAGAAAUCUCGGACAUGC
ensembl:snoRNA